rnacentral:rRNA from 1 species
CCUACGGGUGGCAGCAGUGGGGAAUAUUGCGCAAUUGGCGCAAGCCUGACGCAGCGACGCCGCGUGAGGGAAGAAGGUCUUCGGAUCGUAAAGCUCUGUCAGCAGGGAAGAACGGUUACUGUGCUAAUCAGCAGUGAAUUGACGGUACCUGCAAAAGAAGCACCGGCUAACUCCGUGCCAGCGGCCGCGGUAAUACGGAGGGUGCAAGCGUUAAUCGGAAUUACUUGGCGUAAAGCGCUCGUAGGCGGUUUGUCAACGCAGGGGUGAAAUCCCCGCGCUUAACGUGGGAAUUGCCUUUGAUACUGGGUAACUAGAGUGUGUGAGAGGAGAGUGGAAUUCCAUGUGUAGGGGUGAAAUGCGUAGAGAGGUGGAGGAACACCAGUGGCGAAGGCGACUAUCUGGCACAUAACUGACGCUGAGGAGCGAAAGCGUGGGUAGCAAACAGGAUUAGAUACCCUUGUAGUC